rfam:Ipomoea nil DNA, scaffold: scaffold3142, cultivar: Tokyo-kokei standard.
UCCGUUGUAGUCUAGUUGGUUAGGAUACUCGGCUCUCACUUGAGAGACUUGGGUUUAAUUCCUGGCAAUAGAA